AUUGAACGCUGGCGGCAGGCCUAACACAUGCAAGUCGAACGAGCGGCGGACGGGUGAGUAAUGUCUGGGAAACUGCCCGAUGGAGGGGGAUAACUACUGGAAACGGUAGCUAAUACCGCAUACUAUCGGAUGUGCCCAUAUGGGAUUAGCUAGUAGGUGGGGUAACGGCUCACCUAGGCGACGAUCCCUAGCUGGUCUGAGAGGAUGACCAGCCACACUGGAACUGAGACACGGUCCAGACGCCUACGGGAGGCAGCAGUGGGGAAUAUUGCACAAUGGGCGCAAGCCUGAUGCAGCCAUGCCGCGUGUAUGAAGAAGGCCUUCGGGUUGUAAAGUACUUUCAGCGAGGAGGCGUUACUCGCAGAAGAAGCACCGGCUAACUCCGUGCCAGCAGCCGCGGUAAUUC
rnacentral:rRNA from 1 species